rnacentral:rRNA from 1 species
UACGUAGGCAGCAAGCGUUGUUCGGAAUUACUGGGCGUAAAGCGAGUGUAGGUGGUUCGAUAAGUUUGGUGUGAAAUCUCCCGGCUCAACUGGGAGGGUGCGCCGAAGACUGUCGAGCUAGAGUGUGGGAGAGGUAGGCGGAAUUCCUGGUGUAGCGGUGAAAUGCGUAGAUAUCAGGAGGAACACCAGUGGCGAAGGCGACUUCCUGGCCUGUUCUUGACGCUGAGGCGCGAAAGCUAGGGGAGCAAACGGG